UUUUACUUUCGAUUUUGUAACGGC
rnacentral:miRNA from 1 species